rnacentral:lncRNA from 10 species
UUGACAGUUUGGCUUCCCUGUUCUGGGUGGCAAAGCCUGUGGAGUACUCACCUACCUGCUGCAUGAAGGCAGCAUGGAGGGACUGUGGUGGAUUAUCUGCAAAGAUGGCCAAAAUUCUCUCAUCCCUGCAGGCACAUACAAGGUUGUUGCAUGGCAUAAGUAAAGUGACAGUUAUAGGAUACAUGCAACUUUUCAGUGACAAAGAUCUGUGCAGCAUCGACAGUACUGCCUAAUGAGGUUUCACCAUAAUGAAGUAUCACAACCAGUUUACAGACCAGAAAACUGAGACACAGGAAGGGGUGGUGACUUGAGCAAGGUGCAUCAGCUGGUUUCCAGAAGUUCCCCAGUCAUUGAGCAUUUCUGAGGCUCUUGAUGCAUAUGCCAAGUAGUUAUGGAGAAAGACACAGCAGCUUACCUCUGCAGGCAUCAUUGUGUGAAAGGAAGACCCAGGCUCUCUCACCACCCUUGAACAGAAGCCUUUUGCUAAGGUGAUAGCUACAUGUCCAAGCCUAUUGCGUGGCAUGCAUUUUGCCUUCUGCAGCCCACUAAAGGAAAUUGAAGUAUACAGAAUGCUUAUUUGGUCUACUCAGUAUCAUCCUAAAUGUAUGUACCAAUGCUUAGGAGUUUGCAGUUCACCCGCAAACCUCAGCGAUCCAAGCUCCCCUGGAUGACCAUCACUCACCAAGAAAAGAGCAAUAACAGGACCUGUUUUGCUAAUCCAGGACUGUUCUCCAGCACUAACUCUAAAUAAUCCCUUCUGCUAGAGUCCACUUUCUGGAACCUGUUGGAGAAGACAUCUUACUCUUAUUGGAUCAUGCACAGUGCCUGAAGCAUUCUGUUGCAUGUAGAAGGCAACAGAAAGAAACUGAGGGUCUGCUAUUUGUCUCCAGAGGCCUUACAAACUGGUAGAAGAUGCAUAACAGAAGAGCUUAUGAAGUUAAAGAUG